ACAAAUGAUGUGAAAAGGACACUCUUAAGUAAAUAACAUUGUACUUCUGAACAAUUAAGUUUAACACACAUUAGAAGAAAAGGUGGUAGAGAGAGUACAUGGCAUUUGCUGUCCUAUAUGUAUUCUUAAUUCUUAAAACUAUGAUUGCAGCAACAGUCACAUAAUGCCCAUUUGUCCAUUGAACAGCUCACAUAAUGUAGUUUUUCUCUCUCUCUCUCUCUCUCUCUCUCUCUCUCUCUCUCUCUCUCUCUCUUUUAGCCUCUUAUCUUCCCAUGUUUCGAGUACCAUGGUUGCAGAACUGAGUCAAGUUGAGGAAAGGCACAAUAUUACAGAGCCAGUUAAGUGCUAAUUGAGGAGCUAUAAAGAAGACGAAGACUGAAUGCAAAUCUAUGUCAAAUUUUAGCACUCCCUGACAAGCUAUGGGAAAUUAGAUUCAAGACUGGAAGAAAUUCAACAUGAAAGUUGGAAUUGAUGCCCACUCGAAUUGCUGGAUUCUAGCAGAUACUAUUUGUAUAGAUUUACAAAUUGAGGUUCAGAAUCACCAAGAAAGUAAUACUUGCUUAAAGACAAAUCUAGAUGGUUAACUAAUUUACUCAACGUAUGCAAACCAUAAAGCCUAAUAAAGAUAAGGAAUUCAUAUGUUGUUUCCACCAAUGCUUGAGUUAGGCAUUAGGUUGUUCAUCUUAACUUAUAUCAUCUUCAUAUGUAUUAACUGAUUCUAUCUACACCUCUCCUUUGUCUUUUUUUCUUUUUCUUUUCUACAGAUCCUCUCCUUUGUUUAUCAUGCAUGUGACAUAACUUGGAAUUUGUUUUCUCACUGAGUAAAGGUUUGUGGAAUUCUUCAAUCGAACCCAAAUUCGCUAUCACGAUAACAACGAAGAGAACUUAAAGACCGACUUUGAACUCAUCAAAAUCAACUAAGCAAAAUAGUAGAGUAUACACAAUUGAAGUAAAACUAAAGAGUUUGAAAACGGGGAAAAUCUUACUGUCCAGCAACAGUGGCAUCAAAAGUGAAAGUAACAAGAAAAUAUCCAGGAUUCUCAUCAUCAGGAGGUGGAGGAAGAACAGGUCCACAGGGGAAUCGACCACCAGCCCAAUUUCCCUGGUUAGCAGUAUUGGUAUUAGUAGAAGGAAGCGGAGGAGGAGGAGGUGGAGGAAGAGGAAGAGGA